rnacentral:rRNA from 1 species
GGCUCAGGACGAACGCUGGCGGCGUGCCUAACACAUGCAAGUCGAGCGAAGAGGAGGGAGCUUGCUCCUGAAUCUUAGCGGCGGACGGGUGAGUAACGCGUGAGCAACCUGCCUUUUACUGGGGGAUAACGCAUCGAAAGAUGUGCUAAUACCGCGUAAGACCACAGCAUCGCAUGGUGCAGGGGUCAAAGGAGCAAUCCGGUAAAAGAUGGGCUCGCGUCCGAUUAGCUAGUUGGUGAGAUAACAGCCCACCAAGGCGACGAUCGAUAGCCGACCUGAGAGGGUGAUCGGCCACAUUGGAACUGAGACACGGUCCAGACUCCUACGGGAGGCAGCAGUGGGGAAUAUUGGGCAAUGGGCGAAAGCCUGACCCAGCAACGCCGCGUGAGGGAAGAAGGGUUUCAGCUCGUAAACCUCUGUCCUAUGGGACGAAGAAGUGACGGUACCAUAGGAGGAAGCCCCGGCUAACUACGUGCCAGCAGCCGCGGUAAUACGUAGGGGGCGAGCGUUGUCCGGAAUGAUUGGGCGUAAAGGGCGCGUAGGCGGCCCGUUAAGUCUGGAGUGAAAGUCCUGCUUUCAAGGUGGGAAUUGCUUUGGAUACUGAUGGGCUCGAGUGCAGGAGAGGAAAGCGGAAUUACCGGUGUAGCGGUGAAAUGCGUAGAGAUCGGUAGGAACACCAGUGGCGAAGGCGGCUUUCUGGACUGAAACUGACGCUGAGGCGCGAAAGCGUGGGGAGCAAACAGGAUUAGAUACCCUGGUAGUCCACGCGGUAAACGAUGAGUGCUAGGUGUUGGAGGUAUCGACCCCCUUCAGGUGCCGCAGAAAACACAAUAAGCACUCGGCAUGGAAAGUAGGGCGCCAAGGUUGAAACUCAAAGGAAUUGACGGGGGCCCGCACAAGCAGCGGAGCAUGUUGGUUUAAUUGGAAGCAACGAGAAGAACCUUGCCAAAUCUUGACAUCCCUCUGACCGGUCCUUAACCGGGCCUUUCCUUCGGGACAGAGGUGACAGGUGGUGCAUGGUUGUCGUCAGCUCGUGUCGUGAGAUGUUGGGUUAAGUCCCGCAACGAGCGCAACCCUUAUCUUCAGUAGCCAGCAUUUCGGAUGGGCACUCUGGAGAGACUGCCAGGGAUAACCUGGAGGAAGGUGGGGAUGACGUCAAAUCAUCAUGCCCCUUAUGAUUUGGGCUACACACGUGCUACAAUGGCGGAAACAAAGGGAAGCGAACCUGUGAGGGGAAGCAAAUCUCAAAAAUACCGUCCCAGUUCGGACUGUAGUCUGCAACUCGACUACACGAAGCUGGAAUCACUAGUAAUCGCGAAUCAGCAUGUCGCGGUGAAUAC